rnacentral:rRNA from 1 species
UACGGAGGAUCCGAGCGUUAUCCGGAUUUAUUGGGUUUAAAGGGUGCGCAGGCGGGAGAUUAAGUCGGCGGUGAAAUUUUGCAGCUCAACUGUAAAAGUGCCUUCGAAACUGGUUUCCUUGAGUGUGGAUGAAGUAGGUGGAAUUUGUGGUGUAGCGGUGAAAUGCAUAGAUAUCACGAGGAACUCCGAUUGCGCAGGCAGCUUACUAAACUACUACUGACGCUCAGGCACGAAGGCGUGGGGAUCAAACAGGAUUAGAUACCCUGGUAGU